UGAAAUAUUAAUCGUUAGCCUCCUUAAAAUGAGAGAUUUGUUACAGAAAAUAUGAUAUGGAACAAGGUCUACUCAUUCUCAUUAGAAACCCUCUUUAUAUAGAGGUGAAUUUCAACGGUAAUUGCACGCACAUAAUGACGAUAAUCAAUGGUAAUAACAAUGUACAUAAUGACUGAUAUAAUUAAUUGAGCCGUUACAUCCGUUAAUCACUAAUGCCUUAAUCUAUUCUCGUCAGUUACUUUGACGAAGGCACACAUAAGGUAUUUUUCCUUCAACACUCCCCCUUGUGCCAAGUCAAAGUUAAAACAGUGCAUAUGGUGUUGCCUCCAUUAAAAACCUUGNNNNNNNNNNNNNNNNNNNNNNNNNNNNNNNNNNNNNNNNNNNNNNNNNNNNNNNNNNNNNNNNNNNNNNNNNNNNNNNNNNNNNNNNNNNNNNNNNNNNNCAUCUACAUAAACAAUAGCAAAGAUAUAUUAAUUACGUAGUCGCAAAGACAUCCACGUAAAUUAUUUUCCAAGAAUGAUAAUUUAGAUUUCAAUACCAAGAUUCAUAAUGGUCACACUAUUUUCGAUGCUUUGUGAAAAUACUUUAUCACAAUAAUUUAGAUGUUAUGAAUGUACUUUUCAUAACAACCUAAUUUAUAGGACAUGCAAAAUGGUAAUAUUUACUAAAAUAAUUAAAAAAAUAGUCGUAAUAUAUACAAUCAGUUUAAUAGUAAAACUAGAUUUCACAUUUUACCAUGUCAUUCAUUAGCACCAUAGUAAAUAGUUAAUAGUAAUAGUAACUAUUAAUUACCACACAGUAAGUUAAAGAGUUACCUCAGCACCAGUGAGGUGAAAAAUAAUUCGAAUCGGGUUAAAACGCGGGUCGGGCUCUGAGAAUCCGGGUCGAGCUUCUAUGUUCGGGUCGCCGGCCGGGAUGGGCAGAUCGACGCUGGGCUUGUGAAAGGAGCUAGUGCGGCGGCGUUGCGGAGCGAGCGCUGGACAGAGCAAGGCGGUGCGUUCGGGGUUUGGGGUUUGCGUCACCGGGCUUGAUCGGUCGAAGCAGAACCGGCGCUCUUCGGAUCUGGGCUGCUCGCCGGGGUGCACAAACGUCGUUGGUGGCGCGCUCGGAUCGGCUCGGGCUCGGCUCGGGGCUGGUUGGAUCUCAGCAGUAGGGCUAAGGGUACACCGGUCCGCCGGUGAGGAGAGAAAGGCAGUGAUGUUACUGUCUAGGUGGGAAAAACGGCUAGGGGUUUAUUUUUUUUUUUGUUUGGUCCGAAAACUACAAACGUAAACUAGAGCAACGUGUCUGAUAACGUGUUACAGAAAAUAUGAUAUGGAACAAGGUCUACUCAUUCUCAUUAGAAACCCUCUUUAUAUAGAGGUGAAUUUCAACGGUAAUUGCACGCACAUAAUGACGAUAAUCAAUGGUAAUAACAAUGUACAUAAUGACUGAUAUAACUAAUUGAGCCGUUACAUCCGUUAAUCACUAAUGCCUUAAUCUAUUCUCGUCAGUUACUUUGACGAAGGCACACAUAAGGUAUUUUUCCUUCAACAAGAUUUAGUUUGUCAAUAAUGAGUUAUAUAUACUUUCCAGAGGCUGGGAGAUAGAUUUCAUAUCUCUAUCCUAAAGAAAGAAGUAAAAAUUACGGCUUCAUGUCAUUUUCUUUUAUUAACUAUUUGUCUUUUAACUUUAGUUAAUUACGGCUUGUUGCGAAAAAUUACGGCUUUAUGCCGCAAAAUAGCCUACUAGGUUUCGGUGGUACCCAAUGUUCUUGGUCUCGGUCUAUGCACCUUGUGUACCUUAUUUGCUUUAGAUAGGCAGCCCUAGGGGUGGGUAUAAAAUCCCGUAAUCCCGAACCCGUCCCGAAAUUUACCGGGACGGGACAGGAUUUAAAUCUCAAAACGUUAGGCCCGUCUCGUCCCGUCUCGUCUCUAUACAACGGGACGGGACACGGGACGGAUAAUUCAAGUCCCGUUUAGGCCCGUCCCAUCCCGUUAUUUUAAUAAUUGAUUAUUUAUUGAUUAAAAUGUGAUUUGAGCCUUUCAUUUAAGUGUUUUCAUCUUAGCUUUUUGUUUCUUUAAGUUAAUUGACUGUCUCCAAUUCACUAACAAUGAUGUUUAAUACUUUAAUUUGUUGAUUGUUGUAGACUCUUUUCUUACACCGUAGUGGUGAUGACAUGUUUAGAGAAAGUAAACAGUAUAAACUCUCUUAUUACACCAUUUUGUACUUGUAAAUAUGUUACAAGUACUUGUUAAUACUUAAUAAGUAAAUAACACUAUAAAACUAUGAAACUUUUUUUUUUACUUACAAGUUUAUUUUCAACUUUUUUUAUUUGGGACUGGGCCCGUCUCGUCUCAUCCCGUCCCGUCCCAACCGGGAUAGGGCCCGGGUGGGAUGAAAUCUAAAAAUGGCAAAUCUCGUCCCGUCUCGUCCUUUUUUCAAUGUCCGGGACGGGCCGUGGGAUUACCUCUAUCCCGUCACAUCCCGUCCCAUGCCCAGCCCUAAGCAGCCCGUCUUUUGAUUUAUCAAAUGGGCGCAACCUUCUAGUGACAGAACAAGACUUAGUGUCGUCGGGUUUAUUUUGUAGCGACAACAUAUUAGGAAAACUACAUUAUUGGAUAUUCUUAUGAUCUUUCUAUUAUGUCACCGCUAUUACAAAUCAAAUAGAGUCGUCAUUAGAGUAAUACUAUUUGCUAGUUGAUGUUUGUUUAAGUAUAUGUACUUUGUAAUUAUUCUUGAUAUUAUGUCGGGAUUUCAUUGUAACAAGGGAUUUCAAAGAAAAGUAGUGGUUUUAUCUUCAAAUAAAAUGCUUCAGAAAAACUUCAUAAAUCAUAGGUACCAACAGACAACAGUACACCUUUCUCAAAGUUGCGACGGAAAAAGAUUAACCUACAUUAGAGCCCAAUUAUAUUUAGUGGUCUAAAUUGAUUUCUUCUUUGUAACACUAAUCGAUAGGGCCCCGAUUCUAGUACUUCCCAGUUCCCCAAAUCCAUUUUUGAACUUGGAGCAAAAUGCUUGAAUUGUCUCGUCUUUUUUUUUUUUUUUUUCGCAUGAAGAAAGUGUACCCCUAGCUACUACCGGCCAAUAUUGAGAUUGACGAUAUUGCCGUCAUGGCUAUAAUAUUGUGAAUGGAUCUAUGGAGGAAUCAUAAACAGUCGACAUGCAUACCUAUG
rnacentral:lncRNA from 1 species